rnacentral:rRNA from 1 species
UGGGGAAUAUUGCACAAUGGGCGCAAGCCUGAUGCAGCCAUGCCGCGUGUAUGAAGAAGGCCUUCGGGUUGUAAAGUACUUUCAGCGGGGAGGAAGGCGACAGGGUUAAUAACCCUGUCGAUUGACGUUACCCGCAGAAGAAGCACCGGCUAACUCCGUGCCAGCAGCCGCGGUAAUACGGAGGGCGCAAGCGUUAAUCGGAAUUACUGGGCGUAAAGCGCACGCAGGCGGUCUGUCAAGUCGGAUGUGAAAUCCCCGGGCUCAACCUGGGAACUGCAUUCGAAACUGGCAGGCUAGAGUCUUGUAGAGGGGGGUAGAAUUCCAGGUGUAGCGGUGAAAUGCGUAGAGAUCUGGAGGAAUACCGGUGGCGAAGGCGGCCCCCUGGACAAAGACUGACGCUCAG